rnacentral:misc_RNA from 1 species
AAAAUCUAAUUUCUUAAAAUUAUAUAUACUUAAAUAAUUUCAUAUUAUUAAUACUAAUAUUUAAUAUUCAAAUUCAUAACUCAUAUACACACAAAUAUCAUCUUUUAUUAUACUCUUAAAUAAAAUUCUCCAACUUACAAACAAAAAUAUUAUUUUAACUUACCUUUUUCGCAUAUAUAUCUAAACUUUUAAACACCUAACACUUACAAAAAUACAAACAUUCA